GUGGGGAAUUUUGGACAAUGGGGGCAACCCUGAUCCAGCAAUGCCGCGUGCAGGAAGAAGGCCUUCGGGUUGUAAACUGCUUUUGUACGGAACGAAAAGGCUCUGGUUAAUACCUGGGGCACAUGACGGUACCGUAAGAAUAAGCACCGGCUAACUACGUGCCAGCAGCCGCGGUAAUACGUAGGGUGCAAGCGUUAAUCGGAAUUACUGGGCGUAAAGCGUGCGCAGGCGGUGCUGUAAGACAGGCGUGAAAUCCCCGGGCUUAACCUGGGAAUGGCGCUUGUGACUGCAGUGCUGGAGUGUGGCAGAGGGGGAUGGAAUUCCGCGUGUAGCAGUGAAAUGCGUAGAUAUGCGGAGGAACACCGAUGGCGAAGACAAUCCCCUGGGCCUGCACUGACGCUCAUGCACGAAAGCGUGGGGAGCAAACAGGAUUAGAAACCCCGGUAGUCC
rnacentral:rRNA from 1 species